UACGAAGGGGACUAGCGUUGUUCGGAAUCACUGGGCGUAAAGCGCACGUAGGCGGAUUCGUAAGUUAGGGGUGAAAUCCCAGGGCUCAACCCUGGAACUGCCUUCUAGACUGCAGGCCUUGAGGUCAGGAGAGGCGAGUGGAAUACCGAGUGUAGAGGUGAAAUUCGUAGAUAUUCGGUGGAACACCAGUGGCGAAGGCGACUCGCUGGACUGAUACUGACGCUGAGGUGCGAAAGCGUGGGGAGCAAACAGG
rnacentral:rRNA from 1 species